GAACACUUGGAGGCUGCUAUCUAUUGAGACAUCAAAAGAACUCAGUUCCCAAUGUAAAGGUGUUUUCGAAUAAAGAAAAGAAUUUGGUCCUUAUCUGCCUACCCUGUUUUUUAUCCUCAGUCAGGAGAGGGCAAGCAAACAUAUUUUAGAGAUCUCCCUGACUGAAGCAAAUCUACACAGGAUUAUAAAGUCACAGGAAAUUAAAGUCUGGUGUCAGUAAUGUAUAGAGCGGUGUUACAGAAAUCUAUCAGAGUGCCAGGUAUUGGUGGGUGUCGUCACAUUACCCACGUGUCAACAGACCGGGUCUGGAUCAGUGAUGGUGACAAUCUCUUCUUAACUAACACGACAGGAGACAUUUUAGAUAGUGUGACAGAUUUAUAUAAAUUUGGUGAUGGUGU